AACGAACGCUGGCGGCAUGCCUAACACAUGCAAGUCGAACGAGACCUUCGGGUCUAGUGGCGCACGGGUGCGUAACGCGUGGGAACCUGCCCUUAGGUUCGGAAUAACUCCCCGAAAGGGGUGCUAAUACCGGAUAAUGUCUUCGGACCAAAGAUUUAUCGCCUUUGGAUGGGCCGCGUUGGAUUAGCUAGUUGGUAGGGUAAAAGCCUACCAAGGCGACGAUCCAUAGCUGGUCUGAGAGGAUGAUCAGCCACACUGGGACUGAGACACGGCCCAGACUCCUACGGGAGGCAGCAGUGGGGAAUAUUGGACAAUGGGCGAAAGCCUGAUCCAGCAAUGCCGCGUGAGUGAUGAAGGCCUUAGGGUUGUAAAGCUCUUUUACCCGGGAUGAUAAUGACGGUACCGGGAGAAUAAGCUCCGGCUAACUCCGUG
rnacentral:rRNA from 1 species